GGCCCUGGCUGAGGGGUCCCUGCAGCACAAGCCCUAGUACCUACCUCACUGUAACCCACAAGCACUCAGCCAUGCACACAGAUGCACUGCACAGGCACACUCCCACACCAUGCACACCCACGCAUGCACACGCAUGCACACGUGUACAUCACACAUGCACAGUGCAUACACAUGUGUACGUGCCUAGACCCCCUGAGGAGACUCUGGGGAGACAAAACAGAGGGUCCAGUGCUGCAGGUCCCACGGAGGCUGAGGGGCCAGGAAGUCAGAAAGGUCAGGGUGCCUCGCCCUGAAGUGACUCUAAAUAUAAACAGCACAGCAACUGCAGAGGCAGGUGGGGCCAGCCAGGGUUCGGUGCCCCAGGGCCUGGAGAGCAGAGACGCAACUGAAAACCAGCGCAUCCUCCGAGUAGGGCCGGGUGUGAGCCAGUGCCAGGAGCCCCGUCCACGGGACGGUGUGGCUCCUGGGGACACGUCUGAGGGGGACGUUGGCACCUUCGGAGAGGAGGCAGGCAGCCAGGUGAGUGAGUGGACAGAGGGAGGACCGGGGCCCGGCCCAUCGGGUCAGCUGGCUUCUAGGGGCAGGGAGGCCACGCAGAGCCACAAGCAGCCUGCACGGAGUUUGCUCCUCUGCCCCAUGGUCUCCUGGGAAAGGACACACUGGUCACCGCCACAGCGCUGGGCACUGUGCAUGCCACGGUGUGAACAUACCCGCGGUGCCACGGGCA
rnacentral:lncRNA from 1 species